rnacentral:rRNA from 1 species
AUUUUCUUCGGAAAUGAAGAUUUUGUGACUGAGUGGCGGACGGGUGAGUAACGCGUGGGUAACCUGCCUCACACUGGGGGAUAACAGUUAGAAAUAGCUGCUAAUACCGCAUAAGCGCACGGUUCCGCAUGGAACAGUGUGAAAAACUCCGGUGGUGUGAGAUGGACCCGCGUCUGAUUAGCUUGUUGGUGAGGUAACGGCCCACCAAGGCGACGAUCAGUAGCCGACCUGAGAGGGUGAUCGGCCACAUUGGGACUGAGACACGGCCCAAACUCC